rnacentral:rRNA from 1 species
UACGUAGGAUCCAAGCGUUUGUCCGGAUUUACUGGGUGUAAAGGGUGCGCAGGCGGACUUAUAAGUCAGUGGUGAAAUCUCACAGCUUAACUGUGAAACUGCCUUUGAUACUGUAGGUCUUGAAUUAGGGAGAGAUUCGUGGAAUUCCGAGUGUAGCAGUGAAAUGUGUAGAUAUUCGGAAGAACACCAGAGGCGAAGGCAGCGAAUUGGCCCUAUAUUGACGCUCAGGCACGAAAGCAUGGGGAUCAAACAGG